AUGUAGAAAAAUCUCAAAUUAAGAUUCUCUGUAGUUUACGAUUACCAGACGAUGUAAAGUCCAUCUCACACUCCUAACUGACGACCUAGUCUGUUACCACUAACAACUGAUUAGAUUUAAAUCACUAGCUCAAAAUAUAUAAGCCCAGCUAUUAAUACUAGAUUUCUUUUGUUCUAAUGUAUACUCUAUUUUCAUCUGAUGUGGGAUUAGUGGAGUGUUAUAUAUCUCUGCAUGCUUUCGCCCAACUCCAUUCUAUCUAAUAACAUUAAAAGAGUCUUGAUAUCAAGGAGAUCGUAAGUAGCAUAAAUUAAAUUCAACGAUGUGUCUUAAUAUCAAACUUAACAGUACCGAUCAUCAUCGAUUCAGACACUUUAUCAUCGUAGAAGUUCUAUAUUCUCUCUCUUUCUCUCUCAAUAUUGUAGAAUGUACAAGUUUUAGAUUGUAACACCAAACUAAAUGAAGCAGCUUUACCUAUGCACCUAUAUACAGGGUAUAAAUUUUACAUUCCAACCUCUCAAGGGCUCAUAUUUACUCACUAAUGUUACCAAUUUCUUUUUAAUACUCAAAAACCAGUAAAAGUAUUUAAAUUUUGAAUGAUGAGUUAUAAAAUAAAUAUAUAUAUAUAUACGCCCUAUAAUAAAUAAGGGCUUUUGCUUAGUGAUCUAAUAUAUUCUUAAAAACUUCAAAAAUAUUUAAUAUAUUUCUGAUCGACCAAAAUGCCUUCAGUGAUUUUUUAAAAAAAAUUCAAAUAUUUUCAAAUUCUUAAGUUUUACUAAUGAAAAAUUGAGGUAGAUGAAUAUUUUGAUAAUUUCAAAAUAAAAUUAAGAAUUUUGAAUAGUAAUAAAAAAUAAAUAAGUAAAAGUCCUUAGAAUUAAAAAAAUG
rnacentral:lncRNA from 1 species